rnacentral:rRNA from 1 species
AUUGAACGCUGGCGGCAUGCCUUACACAUGCAAGUCGAACGGUAACAGGUCUUCGGAUGCUGACGAGUGGCGCACGGGUGCGUAAUACAUCGGAACGUGCCCGAUCGUGGGGGAUAACGAAGCGAAAGCUUUGCUAAUACCGCAUACGAUCUACGGAUGAAAGCGGGGGAUCUUCGGACCUCGCGCGGACGGAGCGGCCGAUGGCAGAUUAGGUAGUUGGUGGGAUAAAAGCUUACCAAGCCGACGAUCUGUAGCUGGUCUGAGAGGAUGAUCAGCCACACUGGGACUGAGACACGGCCCAGACUCCUACGGGAGGCAGCAGUGGGGAAUUUUCGACAAAGGGCGCAAGCCUGAUCCAGCCAUGCCGCGUGCAGGAUGAAGGCCUUCGGGUUGUAAACUGCUUUUGUACGGAACGAAAAGGUGUCUUCUAAUAAAGGGCGCUCAUGACGGUACCGUAAGAAUAAGCACCGGCUAACUACGUG